rnacentral:pre_miRNA from 1 species
GAGACAUUGUGUGUGUGUGUGUGUGUGUGUGUGUGUGUGUGUGUGUGUGUGCGCGCGUGCAUGCGCGCGCACAACACCAUGUCCA